GACGCAGAUCAAUGAUGUAUUUAUAACAGCGCUUAUAACAGUAGUAGUCUUAUAAUCCAAAAGUCUUAUUCUCGACUGGGCAAAGAAGACGGAGAAUAUGAUAUAAAGUGACCAACUGGGUGAGAAAGACGAGAGGAUAUUUUUGUAAGGCUACUUUGACUGCAGACUGCGCAUCCGAAGACCACGUGAUCCAGAGAGGCCGCGACCUGUCAAUCACCGGCUCUGUGAUGCUGGUGAGGAAGCCUGCAGCAUGCCCAAACCCAUUACAGAGUGAAGCACGACUCAGGCAAGAGUACUGCAAUAUUUCACCAAUUGCACUGCCUUCCCAUCAUGCUUUGUAGUGUUUUCUGCACAUUUGACAGCGCUCAAAUAAAGAGAUCCUUAAACAGAA